GAUGAAGAACGCAGCGAAAUGCGAUAAGUAAUGUGAAUUGCAGAAUUCAGUGAAUCAUCGAAUCUUUGAACGCACAUUGCGCCCCCUGGUAUUCCGGGGGGCAUGCCUGUUCGAGCGUCAUUUCACCACUCAAGCCUCGCUUGGUAUUGGGCAUCGCGGUCCGCCGCGUGCCUCAAAACGACCGGCUGGGUCUUCUGUCCCCUAAGCGUUGUGGAAACUAUUCGCUAAAGGGUGUUCGGGAGGCUACGCCGUAAAACAACCCCAUUUCUAAGGUUGACCUCGGAUCAGGUAGGGAUACCCGCUGAACUUAAGCAUAUCAAUAAGCGGAGGA
rnacentral:misc_RNA from 1 species